UGGGGAAUAUUGCACAAUGGGGGAAACCCUGAUGCAGCGACGCCGCGUGAACGAAGAAGGUAUUCGUAUCGUAAAGUUCUGUCCUAUGGGAAGAUAAUGACAGUACCAUAGAAGAAAGCUCCGGCUAACUACGUGCCAGCAGCCGCGGUAAUACGUAGGUGGCAAGCGUUGUCCGGAUUUAUUGGGCGUAAAGCGAGCGCAGGCGGUUUGUUAAGUCAGAUGUGAAAUCCCCGGGCUCAACCUGGGAACUGCAUCUGAUACUGGCAAGCUUGAGUCUCGUAGAGGGGGGUAGAAUUCCAGGUGUAGCGGUGAAAUGCGUAGAAAUCUGGAGGAAUACCGGUGGCGAGGGCGGCCACCUGGACGAAGACUGACGCUCAGGUGCGAAAGCGUGGGGAGCAAACAGG
rnacentral:rRNA from 1 species